rnacentral:lncRNA from 1 species
UAUAACACGAACGCAAAAAAGACGAAGGAGAGGAAUGCAAGAAAGAAGAAGGAAAGGAAUAAGAAGAAAAUGAGUCAGCAGGACAGCGGUAUAGGGGAAGAGAGGUCUAGGAAGAAGAAGAAGCAGCACAGAACGAAAUAGAGGAGAACGUGGUCGAGCAAAAGAAGAGUGAUGAGAGUGUCGCAUUUCACUCGUUGAUCUCGUGUCACACUCUCU